rnacentral:rRNA from 1 species
GGGGAUAACACUUGGAAACAGGUGCUAAUACCGGAUAACAACCAAAACCACCUGGUUUUGGUUUAAAAGACGGCUUCGGCUGUCACUUUAGGAUGGACCCGCGGCGUAUUAGCUUGUUGGUAAGGUAACGGCCUACCAAGGCGAUGACACGUAGCCGACCUGAGAGGGUAAUCGGCCACAUUGGGACUGAGACACGGCCCAAACUCCUACGGGAGGCAGCAGUAGGGAAUCUUCCACAAUGGACGAAAGUCUGAUGGAGCAACGCCACGUGAGUGAUGAAGGGUUUCGGCUCGUAAAACUCUGUUGUUGGAGAAGAACAGGUGUCAGAGUAACUGUUGACAUCUUGACGGUAUCCAACCAGAAAGCCACGGCUAACUACGUGCCAGCAGCCGCGGUAAUACGUAGGUGGCAAGCGUUGUCCGGAUUUAUUGGGCGUAAAGCGAGCGCAGGCGGUUUUUUAGGUCUGAUGUGAAAGCCUUCGGCUUAACCGGAGAAGUGCAUCGGAAACCGGGAGACUUGAGUGCAGAAGAGGACAGUGGAACUCCAUGUGUAGCGGUGAAAUGCGUAGAUAUAUGGAAGAACACCAGUGGCGAAGGCGGCUGUCUGGUCUGUAACUGACGCUGAGGCUCGAAAGCAUG